AGGAACUGGGGCUGUUUAGUGUGGGGAAAAGGAGGCUGAGGGGAGACCUGAUGGGCUCCCUAUUCCACCCAGGGAGCUGGUUCAGUCACCAUCCCUGAAUGUGUUGAAAACCAGGUGGUGCUCGGGGACAUGAUUGAGCAGGGGCUUGUUAGAGUGAGGCUGGUAUGGUUAGGUUGUGCUUAGACUGGAGGGUCUUGAAGGUCUUUGUGGCGACAAAAACUGCAACCAUCUCAAGCCUGGGGGAAAGGGGCUGACCCCAACGGUCACGCAACCCCCCUGGGGGGAGGGGCUCCCCUAACUGCCACUCUCCAGCUGUCAUGGCAGGUAAGGCAGCAGGCUUCCCCUGCUCCCAUGCUUCAGCUGGCCCCAGCGCUCCAGAUCCCACCCCUGUGCCCAAGAUCCCACCCCUGUAACCCCUAUCCCACCCCAGCGUCCCAGAUCUCACUCCAGCGCCCCAGAUCCCAGCCCUGUAAGCCCGAUCUCCGCCCUGUGCCCCAGAUCCCACCCCAGCGCCCCAGAGCUCACCCCAGAGCCCAGCCCAGAGCCUACUUUGGCCUUUCCCCACAGAGAGAAUCCCUCGAGGAGCGCUGACGGUGCCUCUGACACCCGACGCCAUUUUCCCUGAAGCGACUGUGCCGCCACCGGACCCCGCCUGGAUGCAGCCCACCAUCCGCGGACCGAUGCCGGUACCACCCCAAGCCCUCCCUGUCCCCACUGCCACCUACCUGGCGCCUCAGGCCUCUGUCUGGCCUGGGGUACCAGGUGUCUGGGGACAGGCAGCGCAGCUCCCCC
ensembl:lncRNA